AGGACGAACGCUGGCGGCGUGCCUAAUACAUGUAAGAGAGCGAGCGGAACUAACAGAUUUACUUCGGUAAUGACGUUAGGAAAGCGAGCGGCGGAUGGGUGAGUAACACGUGGGGAACCUGCCCCAUAGUCUGGGAUACCACUUGGAAACAGGUGCUAAUACCGGAUAAGAAAGCAGAUCGCAUGAUCAGCUUUUAAAAGGCGGCGUAAGCUGUCGCUAUGGGAUGGCCCCGCGGUGCAUUAGCUAGUUGGUAAGGUAAAGGCUUACCAAGGCGAUGAUGCAUAGCCGAGUUGAGAGACUGAUCGGCCACAUUGGGACUGAGACACGGCCCAAACUCCUACGGGAGGCAGCAGUAGGGAAUCUUCCACAAUGGACGCAAGUCUGAUGGAGCAACGCCGCGUGAGUGAAGAAGGUUUUCGGAUCGUAAAGCUCUGUUGUUGGUGAAGAAGGAUAGAGGUAGUAACUGACCUUUGUUUGACGGUAAUCAAUUAGAAAGUCACGGCUAACUACGUGCCAGCAGCCGCGGUAAUACGUAGGUGGCAAGCGUUGUCCGGAUUUAUUGGGCGUAAAGCGAGUGCAGGCGGCUCGAUAAGUCUGAUGUGAAAGCCUUCGGCUCAACCGGAGAAUUGCAUCAGAAACUGUCGAGCUUGAGUACAGAAGAGGAGAGUGGAACUCCAUGUGUAGCGGUGAAAUGCGUAGAUAUAUGGAAGAACACCGGUGGCGAAGGCGGCUCUCUGGUCUGUUACUGACGCUGAGGCUCGAAAGCAUGGGUAGCGAACAGGAUUAGAUACCCUGGUAGUCCAUGCCGUAAACGAUGAGUGCUAAGUGUUGGGAGGUUUCCGCCUCUCAGUGCUGCAGCUAACGCAUUAAGCACUCCGCCUGGGGAGUACGACCGCAAGGUUGAAACUCAAAGGAAUUGACGGGGGCCCGCACAAGCGGUGGAGCAUGGUGGUUUAAUUCGAAGCACGCGAAGAACCUUACCAGGUCUUGACAUCCAUAGCAGUCUAGAGAUUAGAUGUUCCCUUCGGGGACUAU
rnacentral:rRNA from 1 species